GAUGCCUCCCGGCCGCCGUAGGCGAAGGUUCGCGGAAGAGGGGAGCAGGCGCUCACCUGAGGUUCGCCCAAUCCUGGAGCAGUGGGUCCCGGGAGGGAAGAGGGAAGUGGGUCAGGCUCCCGGCCUGUGUUUGUCCAUUCAUUCAUUCAUUGAGGCACGAAUUAAUGUGAUAACCACUUAUUCGUUCAAAAACUGCUGAUUCACCACCCACCAGGUGCCAGGGAGACGGACAAAAUGCACCAAACAAAAUGCACGAAACAGUACCGGAAGCAGUAAUGUCCACGUGUGAUACUUGCCCUGGAGCAAGUAAGGAGGGGACAGGACCAUCUGACUUCGGGGUUGGGCUGCUCUAGGGGUUUGGUGAUAGUCUUAGCUGCCUGUGACCGUCCAUUAGUACUGCCCUGUUCAGGGCAGAUACUGUUCGCUCGCCUCCCAGUAGUUUUUAUAUUGAAGAAAAAUAUAUCAGAGCAUCAAAUAGUACAACCUUAUGUACUUAAAAAAAUUACUUUCUAUCUGUCUACUCUAAGAUCAGUAGAGUAAGCACAGUUGCACAUUUUAUGUUCUCACCUAGUUAUAGCACCCUCUUCCUGUUCUCAACUCCAUUGAAGAGUUGCUACUUGUCAGUAUUUCUGUUAGUUGUCAGUAUCCAUUAGGAUCUGUAUUUUUGCCAUUUUAAAAAUCAACAGUUCUGAGUUACUAAAAAAUUGCAAAUGGUAGUUCCGGAGGUUCUAUACGUUGCCAUAGAAGAGCAUUCCAUUGGGUGUUUAAGGAACUGUUGGAGGAAACACGUUAAAGAUCAGUUAGGAAUGAUCAGAAGUCACUUGACCUUUUGAGGGACAUUGAUAAUAUCCUUAUAGCCUAGGAGGAAAAGAGCCACUAUUGUACGACGAAGCACAGCAGGAAAAUUUUAUGGCUGGAGUCGUGUUAUGACUUCCUGAGCUGACUCAGAAAUUGGAAUGAGUUGUCUGUGGAUCCUGUAAGGAGCCUGGACAUGGUGAAGAGAAUGCCUUGACCAUCAGGAGACAGCUUAGCUUGUUGAAUCUUGAUCACUUCUUCUGACCGCUUUGGAUCUUAAAAGAACAAGGUAAG
rnacentral:lncRNA from 1 species